UACAGAGGGCGCAAGCGUUGUUCGGAAUUACUGGGCGUAAAGCGCGUGUAGGUGGCGAUGUAAGUCGGGUGUGAAAUCCCUCAGCUUAACUGAGGAAGUGCACUCGAUACUGUGUCGCUUGAGUGUUGGAGGGGAUGGCGGAAUUCCCGGUGUAGAGGUGAAAUUCGUAGAUAUCGGGAGGAACACCUGUGGCGAAGGCGGCCAUCUGGACAACUACUGACACUGAGACGCGAAAGCGUGGGUAGCAAACAGG
rnacentral:rRNA from 1 species